ACGUAGGGUGCGAGCGUUGUCCGGAUUUAUUGGGCGUAAAGAGCUCGUAGGCGGUUUGUCGCGUCGGCCGUGAAAUCUCCACGCUUAACGUGGAGCGUGCGGUCGAUACGGGCAGACUUGAGUUCGGUAGGGGAGACUGGAAUUCCUGGUGUAGCGGUGAAAUGCGCAGAUAUCAGGAGGAACACCGGUGGCGAAGGCGGGUUGCUGGGCCGACACUGACGCUGAGUGCGCGAAAGCCAGGGGAGCGAACGGGA
rnacentral:rRNA from 1 species